AGAAAUUGAGUCGAACAGAAUUGGAACAAAUUGUAAACCGAGUUGACAAAAAAGUCAAAAAACCAAACCUGACGAGGCUCACCUCAACAUAAUGGAUAUGCUAGCAUCGCGAUCGUCAUGUUGUCGAGACUAGGCUCACUCUCUUGUACAAAGCUUCCUUACCUUUCUUACCUACUAGAUUGUUGCUUUUCAAACCGCAAUCUAUCUCGUUAAUCUUUUC
rnacentral:lncRNA from 1 species